UACGUAGGGUGCGAGCGUUGUCCGGAAUUAUUGGGCGUAAAGAGCUCGUAGGCGGUUUGUCGCGUCGGCCGUGAAAACUUGGGGCUUAACCCCAAGCCUGCGGUCGAUACGGGCAGACUUGAGUUCGGUAGGGGAGACUGGAAUUCCUGGUGUAGCGGUGAAAUGCGCAGAUAUCAGGAGGAACACCGGUGGCGAAGGCGGGUCUCUGGGCCGAUACUGACGCUGAGGAGCGAAAGCGUGGGGAGCGAACAGG
rnacentral:rRNA from 1 species